rnacentral:siRNA from 1 species
UCGAGGUUGAUGAUGUGGAUUUA